rnacentral:rRNA from 1 species
GUCUAUGGCCAUGCCACCCUGAACAAGCCCGAUCCUGUCUGAUCUUGGAAGCUAAGCAGGGUUGGGCCUGGUUAGUACUUGGAUGGGAGACCACCUAGAAAGACCAGAUGCUGUAGGCA